UACGGAGGAUGCGAGCGUUAUCCGGAUUUAUUGGGUUUAAAGGGUGCGUAGGCGGAAUAUCAAGUCAGCGGUAAAAAUUCGGGGCUCAACCCCGUCGUGCCGUUGAAACUGAUGUUCUUGAGUGGGCGAGGAGUAUGCGGAAUGCGUGGUGUAGCGGUGAAAUGCAUAGAUAUCACGCAGAACUCCGAUUGCGAAGGCAGCAUACCGGCGCCCAACUGACGCUGAAGCACGAAAGCGUGGGUAUCGAACAGG
rnacentral:rRNA from 1 species